GAUGAACGCUGGCGGCGUGCUUAACACAUGCAAGUCGAACGGAAAGGCUCCUGCUUGCAGGGGUACUCGAGUGGCGAACGGGUGAGUAACACGUGGGUGAUCUGCCCUGCACCUCGGGAUAAGCCUGGGAAACUGGGUCUAAUACCGGAUAGGACGAUGGUUUGGAUGCCAUUGUGGAAAGUUUUUCGGUGUGGGAUGAGCUCGCGGCCUAUCAGCUUGUUGGUGGGGUAAUGGCCUACCAAGGCGUCGACGGGUAGCCGGCCUGAGAGGGUGUACGGCCACAGUGGGACUGAGAUACGGCCCAGACUCCUACGGGAGGCAGCAGUGGGGAAUAUUGCACAAUGGGCGCAAGCCUGAUGCAGCGACGCCGCGUGGGGGAUGACGGCCUUCGGGUUGUAAACUCCUUUCGCUAGGGACGAAGCGUUUUGUGACGGUACCUGGAGAAGAAGCACCGGCUAACUACGUG
rnacentral:rRNA from 1 species